UCCUAUAGGUGAGCAAAGAAAGUGGUUUCUUGAUGUGGAAUCUACUCUUAGUGAAGAUGCUUUGAGAA
rnacentral:pre_miRNA from 1 species